UUGAUAUUGUUUGUUUUAGAGUUGUUGUGCCUGUGUUGUUAGAUUUGUUGUGCUUGUGAGUUUCUGUUGAGUUGUAUGGAAGUUGUUGUAGUUGAGGGUGGUUGUUGUUUUAGGGGAGCUAUUGUGGUUUCUUGGUGUAGUUGUGAGAUAUUGAGGCUUGUUGUUGGUGAGCUGUUGUGAUUUCUUGGUGUUGUUAGUGGGUGUGUGUUGCCUUUUUGUGUUGUUUUUUGUUAGUGAUUUUGUGCAGUGGUCUUUUGUUGUGGUUGUGGUCCUUUUUGUUUGCUGUGUUGUUGAGUUAUGGUUGUAUUCCUUGUUUGUGUUGUUGAGUUGUGGUUGUAGUCCUUGUUUGUUUGCUGUUGUUUAGUUGUGGUUGUAUUCCUUGUUUGUUGUUGAGUUGUGGGGUUGUGGUCCAGGGGUGUUGUGUUGUUGUUGUUGUUGAGCUGUGGGGUUUGUUCUUGGCUGUCUUGUUGUUGGUUGUGUGUAACAGCGGCCGUAUCCAGUGAACAGUACAGCUCCUGAGUGUCAAAUAGUUGAGAUACCGACGCUGCCAUCACCUGACGUUGCAGCAUCGGAUUGAAAACAACUUUGUGCAAGAGAGGAAAAGAGUAAUAAGAGGCGAAUAAAGGACCGCUUUCAAUCUCUAUUGUUGUCGGAGAAGAUGACGAUGGAAGAAAUAGUUUAUGAAAAAUUAAAUAACAUAUAUCAAAGUCGAGAGGGGAAAGAGAGAAAAAUAGUAAUAGGCCUUAUUACAACCCGUAAAAGCAUCAAAGAACUUAAAAAAUUUUGUCGGGAGAAAAACAUAAGAGGAGAAGAAAAACUCUAAAGUAUUACUUGUAUAAAUAUUAUUGUACUGUAAAUGAUGAUAAUGGAAUGAAACAACUAGCUAAGAAUACUAAUAAUAAUGCAUUUCUCAUAAUGCUUGGAUACGAAGAUUUGUAUAGAAUUAAUCACGAAGCUCAUAUAAACUGCGGCCAUAGUAAAAAAACAAAGAAUGUAUUAUAUAUAUAUAUCACUUGAAAUGUGUUACGGGAUUAGUUAAUAUUACCUAUUUUCAAAUUCAAGCAUACAUAUCCUUAUGUAUAAAUUUUAUUAAAAAGGGAUUUAGGAUCCCCAAUUUAACUUCUCCUUUGCCAAUUAUAUCUGCGGGAUUUGGGCAAUGAGGUCAAGUAGAUUUGAUUGAGAUGUCUUCCUUGCGAAGUGCUCUAUUUUCUCAAUUAUCAAGAUCAUACGACAAAAUUUUGUAUCUUAAAACCUGUGCUUAACAAAGACACUGAUACUGUAUCAAAAUUGUUAAUUGAUUUUAUCAUUCUUUUUGGCUGUCCUAAAAUUUCACAAUGCGACAGUGGGCGCGAGUUUCAAUGUUGUGAUAAUGAAUGAAAGAAUUUGUGGUUAAUUUCAAGAUUAUUCAUAGUAGUCCCCGACAUCCUCAAUCACAAGGAUCCGUUGAAAUGGCUAAUGAGGAUAUUGAACAAAUGCUUAUGUAGAUGUUGGGUUAGUGAUGAUAAUUGUACUAAAUGGUUUCUGUGGUUACCUUUCGUUCAACUCAGAAAAAAAUAACACAGCCGAACGAGAAAAUGCUGUCCAUAUAUUGCAGUAUUUGGUCAAUAUCCUCCCGUUAAUCCUACUGUUACUGCAUCAUCAUCAUUAGUAACGACCAGUUCUUCAAUCAUUGUCACGAGAGAACGGCAUAUUAUUAUUAGUUGUAGUAAUAGUGAUAAUGAAGAAGAAAUUGAUGAUUAUGAUAAUUUUGAAAAUGACGAUGAUGGUUUUAAUGUUUCAGUUAAAUGUAUAAAAAGUAAGGAAAUUCGACAAGACGCCAUUGAUGGUAUUUCAACAAUCGCCCAAAGAAGAUCGAUUUCAUAAACUUGGUUUUCCAAAUGUGUUAUGUCGAGUUGAUCAGUAUUACCCAGAAAUAGACAAAUAUAGUGUCUAGUAUCAAAACCGCUGUAAUCAUUAGAAAUUUUAUUUCUCAUAGUCACAUCAAUGGUAAUAUUGUUAUUUGUACCUUUACUAAUAGUAAUAAUGAUGAUGAGGAUGAAGGUAUUAUUAGUAAUAACAACAACAGCAGCAGUCUUCCCCCUUCUUUGUUUUCUCCAUUACCAUCAUCAUCAUCAUUAACCCUACU